rnacentral:rRNA from 1 species
CAGCCGUAAACUAUGCGCGUUAGGUGUACUGGUGACCACGAGUCACCGGGGUGCCGAAGGGAAACCGUGAAACGUGCCGCCUGGGAAGUACGGUCGCAAGGCUGAAACUUAAAGGAAUUGGCGGGGGGAGCACCACGACGGGUGGAGCCUGCGGUUUAAUUGGACUCAACGCCGGAAAUCUCACCGGAUAGGACAGACAUAUGAUAGUCGGGCUGAAGACUCUACUUGAUGAUCUGAGAGGUGGUGCAUGGCGUCAGUGACU